rnacentral:lncRNA from 1 species
GAACAUGGCUCUCUACCAUGUCUGCCAGGACUACACAGUGAGAGCUUAUCUCAAAAGAAAAAAGAAAAAAAGAAAAAAAUUUAUAUAUAUAUAUAUAUAUAUGUAUAUAUAUGUAUAUAUAUAUAUGGAGAGAGAGAGAGAGAGAGAGAGAGAGAGAGAGAGAGAGAGAGAGAGAGAGAGUUUGCAUUGUACAUGAUCAGGGAAAUAAUAAAAACUAGUUUGACAGUCACAUACCAGUGGGUUCUAAUUUAUCAAACUCCACCCCCACCCCCACUGCCACUGCUGCCCUAUGAAGGAACUGAACAGAAGCUUAACUUUCCUUGGGCCAUUUCGACAGCUGUUGUGUCAUCAAGGCUUCUGUUUUCCUAUGGAGACACUACACAUGGGACAGAGAGGAUAACAGGGAGCUCAUGACUGAGAGACCUUCAGGCCAAAGCACUUGAACCUUUGUUUAUCCUGUUUAUUCUGAAUUUUCUGCUUCUGGGCUCUCAUUUCCCCACCAUUAAAAUGAGAAUAUCAAUAUUUAC